GGAAUCAACGCUGGCGGCGUGCCUCAGACAUGCAAGUCGAACGCGAAAGUUUCCUUCGGGAAACAAGUAGAGUGGCGCACGGGUGAGUAACACGUAGGUAAUCUACCUUUGGAUGGGGAAUAACAACCGGAAACGGUUGCUAAUACCGCAUAAUGCAGCGGCACCUAAUGGUGACAGUUGUUAAAGCGGGGGAUCGAAAGACCUCGCGUCUAAAGAGGAGCCUGCGGCGGAUUAGCUAGUUGGUAAGGUAACGGCUUACCAAGGCUACGAUCCGUA
rnacentral:rRNA from 1 species